GCGCACCAGUCGCGAAUCUUCGGCAAUGGGCGCAAGCCUGACCGAGCGACGCCGCGUGCGGGAUGAAGGCCUUCGGGUUGUAAACCGCUGUCAGAGGGGAGGAAAUCACGUGGGGCUCUCCCUGCGUGUUGACCUAUCCGUCAGAGGAAGGACGGGCUAAGUUCGUGCCAGCAGCCCGCGGGUAAGACGAACCGGUCCAAACGGUUAUUCGGAAUCACUGGGCUUAAAGGGUGCGUAGGCGGCCGUGCAAGUCGGGUGUGAAAUCCCUCGGCUCAACCGAGGAACUGCGCCCGAAACUGUGCGGCGUCGAGGGAGGCAGAGGUGAGCGGAACUGGCGGUGGAGCGGUGAAAUGCGUUGAUAUCGCCAGGGAACACCAGUGGCGAAAGCGGGCUCACUGGGGCCUCUUCUGACGCUGAGGCACGAAAGCUAGGGGAGCGAACGGGAUUAGAUACCCGCGUAG
rnacentral:rRNA from 1 species